AUUGAACGCUGGCGGCAGGCCUAACACAUGCAAGUCGAACGAGUGGCGGACGGGUGAGUAAUGUCUGGGAAACUGCCUGAUGGAGGGGGAUAACUACUGGAAACGGUAGCUAAUACCGCAUACCAUCGGAUGUGCCCAGAUGGGAUUAGCUAGUAGGGGGGGUAAAGGCUCACCUAGGAGACGAUCCCUAGCUGGUCUGAGAGGAUGACCGUCCACAUUGGAACUGAGACACGGUCCAGACGCCGACGGUAGGCAGCAGUGGGGAAUAUUGCACAAUGGGCGCAAGCCUGAUGCAGCCAUGCCGCGUGUAGGAAGAAGGCCUUCGGGUUGUAAAGUACGUGCAGCGGGGAGGCGUUACCCGCAGAAGAAGCACCGGCUAACUCCGUGCCAGCAGCCGCGGUAAUAC
rnacentral:rRNA from 1 species